rnacentral:rRNA from 1 species
ACUACGGGUGGCAGCAGUGAGGAAUAUUGGUCAAUGGGCGCGAGCCUGAACCAGCCAAGUCGCGUGAGGGAAGACGGUCCUAUGGAGUGUAAACCUCUUUUGUCGGGGAGCAAAAGACGCCACGCGUGGCGUUCCGAGAGUACCCGAAGAAAAAGCAUAGGCUAACUCCGUGCCAGCAGCAGCGCUAAUACGGAGGAUGCGAGCGUUAUCCGGAUUUAUUGGGUGUAAAGGGGGCGCAGGCGGAAGAUGAAGUCAGCGGUAAAAUUGAGAGGCUCAACCUCUUCGAGCCGUUGAUACUGGUUUUCUUGAGUGAGUGAUAAGUAUGCGGAAUGCGUGGUGUAGCGUUG